CGGUGCGCGGGGCGGCCGUGAGGGGAGGAGGCGCCGCGGCCCCCCUGCCCCGUCCCCUUCCCUUCCCGCCCGGCUCCGCUUCUCUUCUCGCUGGAAGCCACGGGCGCUUCCUUGUGAGCGCGGUGCCGUGCGGGCACCUGUGCGUCCCUCUGUCAGAGCAGAGCUUGGUAUUGCUGAGGGCAGCACUGACAUCCCCACACAUCCCCACACACAGAGCCGGGAGCUCGGUGCUGAGCAGCGAGUCACCCGCUUUGUGACGGCCUGAGUGGCUGCUGAGGAAAUCCAUCGUAUUUCAUCCUGUUUCAUCAGCAUCCCCCCGCCAGCCCCUGCUCUGUGUGCACUCGCACAAGGAUAACAUAACCAGGGUGAGAAAAGCUUUCUGAAAACACUGCAGCUGCAGAGAAUGGAAGCUGUUCUGAAGUGUUAGAAAAGAAAGUCACAAAAGAUGGAGUCCACAUGGUCCCCUUGUGGUUCAGACUGACUGAAGAAAGACUGAAGACUUUAUCCCCUCAGAAAAGCAGCUGGGGCAACAUGCAGCAUUUACACCAAAAGUGAAAUUUUUAAACCAUGUAGAAAACAGUGGAAAGAAGCCAAAUUUCCUAUCAGAAGAACACAGUAAAGAAAGAGGGUUUGUGAUUGUCUGUCCUUGCCUGAAGAACCUGGGGGAUAUAGGAUUUGGCACGCAGUCAUGGCCUGAGAGGCAGUAACAGCAGAUGGAUCACCUUGGCUGUGCGGCAGUUGCCUUGUCCUUGCUUGCAGUGAGACCUUGUGGUGCAAGGAUAGAAUGUUCCUGUCAAUCCAGCAGAUGUUCCAGCAUGUCCUCCAUAUAAAAUAGGCCUAGGAAUGCUAUUUCCUCCACACCCAUAAAUUACUUAUUCCCAUGGAGUGUGACUUCUGUUUUUAAUCACUUACUUAAACUAGAUACAGCCGUGCUAAGUUUAAUAAAUAGGCAUUUUAUAUUUUAUUUAUAUAAUAGGCAUUUUAUAUUUUAAUAAAUAGGCAUUGUAUCGAGCUGCUGAAAACCUGCUGGGCUGAAAGCAUGGGCUGAAGGUGGAGCUGGGGGCAGCCAGGUUGGGUGGUGAGGGCUCAGAGUGAUCCUAUGCAGUUCAUGUCUUUUAGAGACUUUAUGGAAAGAAAUGGAGAAAUUUUAGGCCUAAACAUUUCUCUUUUGGCAGUUAAUUCCUACUGCAUCUUGAGAUGGAGUAGUGUCUCUAAGCCGUUUGUAAAUAUUUAAAAUACCUUCUCCUCUUUGCUAUGUGACUGCAGCAGACUGUCCCUUAUCCUGGGAGAUAAAGGCAUGCUGGCUGCAGUGGAAGAUAAUGCUUCCCAGGGAGUUUGUGUGUCAUUGCACAAUCAAUGGUCUUGCAAGGUCCUUGGGGUGUGAUUAUCUUAAGUUUCAGCUCGAAGGUGCAGUGGUGUAACUACUAAAGUAAAACUGCAAUAGGGCAAAUUUUAAGAUGUAGGUAUUUUAUACUAAAAAGUGUAUUUUUAUUAAUUUAGCAUCUUCCCUAUCUGUCCCAUAGUCCAGUGCAAAUUUAAUCCCUGGAGCAGUGCCUGGUUUGUCUUCAGCUCCAGAGCAAGCAGAGGUAACCAGCCAAGAGCAAGCACCCCACAGCAAAGGGGAACAAAAGACAUUGCAGCCAAGCCUGGCAAAUGCAGCUCCUGCUGGAAUGGCUGGGUGGUCAACAGCAUCUAGGGAAACACAUGGCUCCAGCUGACCUCUCUGCUGUGCAGCUGAUGGGAGGGACUUUGUGCUGGUGGAAAAUACAUUGUGUUUCAAACUGCCAGCGCUGGAGUCCCCUGCAGGAUCUGAAUGGAGUCCUGACAAAUAUUUUGUUAGAGUUAUUUACUGUUACCUCUGGAAUAAGCAUUAUAAUGUAUCUAGCAGUGCCGAGUUCUUAUCAGCAGGACUAGAAUAGGAAAGAAGUGCAGUUUAAUUCCAGCCAAUGAAAUUUCAGCAGCAGUAAGUCAGGGACUGACUGACUUCACUAAAGACUACCCCAAAAGCAAUCUAAGGCACUGUCUGUUCUUAGGCUGCACUAGAUCCCUCUGUGCACCUCAGUUUUGAAAGCCUCCACAGGAACAGUGCAGAUUUGGGUGCUCCUCAUGUACAACCCUGAAUCCUUGUCAAGGCAAGAGAAGGUGGCUAGGAAUAUGCAAAUUUAAUUCAGCAUUAAUUCAGCUUCAGCAUUACCUAAGUCAGUGUCUUGCUAUUUAAGAAUGGUGUGUUAAGGGUAAAGGAAAUAUAAUUUGUCAAAGGGAAAACUCAAGAUCUGGGUGUGAUAGUGUGCUAAUCAGUAAAGAAAUUUAAUUUAAGAUCAGCAUCAGCCCCACUUCUGCCUGAUUAACUGCUGGGGAAAGUUUUUUUUUUAUUUUCUAUUGGCAAAGUUUAGUGAGUGAUAAGCGAGAAUAACCAUUAAUUCUUACCUGCUUCAUCUGGGAACUGCAUGAUUCUGUUACAGCACAGACAUGACUAAUAGCAAGCUCCUUCCAACUGCUGGGGGACAGGCUGUUUGUGUGCCUUAACUUUUCAGUGUUUCAGGGUCUUCAGACAGGACUUAGAAGAACCCAUGCUAUCUCACAUUGGAGUCCAAUGUGCAAGGGAGCUGGCUACAAGUCCUCAGCAAGAUUGCAUCUGUCUGGUAACCCUUUUAAGCUCAUUUCAUACAAACUUGGUGAAAAUAACAUACUACUACCAUUGAAUGUUACAGAGAGCUCAUUACAAUUGAGACUCAGUUUCACUGAGCAGCAGCAGAAACUGAGACAGAAGCAGAACAGUUUUAUAAGUUUAUUGUAAAGACCUUUACAAUCUCAGUACAGAGAUAAGGAUAUAAAAUGAUGCUGCUUAGAAUUAAGGCUGGUUGGUGGUCAUCCAAAUUUCACUGUUCAAUGGAACUCAAGCAAGAGCAACUGGUUUCUGACUGUACAUAUUUUUAUUUGUGUUCCAUCAUUACAGUGAGAUCACAAGUUAUUUCAAAGACUCAAUGCCUGUUUAUUAUAAAAUAAAGGACAUUAUUUACAUGAUGAAAGAAAAAUUUCAGCAUUUUAGUG